ensembl:misc_RNA 7SK 7SK RNA
AGAUGUCAGGGCGGUGUGGUUGUGACAUCUGUCAUCCCAACGAUCACAAGGGUUGAUUCAGCUGAUCUAACUGCCUAAGCAAGUGGCUCCUUCCUCCCUCACUUUCCAUAUGCAUCCCUCCUGAAGCUGUGUGCUAAAAGAGGACAACCCUAUCAACAGAGGAGACUAUUCUUCAGUCAAGGCUAUAUGAGUUGCUGUAUUCCCCUACUAGUACCUCCAAAUAAGUUCUCAAGAUUUCCUCAAUAUAACAAAGUUACUAGAUGUUAAGCUAACCAGGGAACAUAUUUCCCCAGUU